CCAAAACGUUUAGAAAAAAAAAGAAAACGAAAUCAAAGGCCAUUAAGACGCGACCUGACCGCACGGCCGAGAGCCCCCACCCCCACCCCCGGGGGCCUCUCGGAAGCGCGGGCCCUUUAAGCGCGCCAGACGCCGCGGGAGCCAAUUGGCGCCUAACGGGCGGUUGCCAUGGCGCCGGGGGCCGGGAGCCAAUAGGGGGCGCCGUGGCUUUUCGAAUGGCCGCGAGCAGGGCCGGCGUGCCAGGCGGGCGGGGCGAGGAGGGGGCGGUGAGAGCCGGCCCACGUGGCGCGGGGGCAGUGGGGGCGCCGAGCGGCUGCCAUGGAAACCGGGCGGGAAAAAGCCCCGCGAGGCGCCGGGGAGAGGGGCCGGGGGCGAUCCGAAACCGUCUGCGAGCGGGGAGGGGCGCGGCCGAAAACAAAAGGGAGCGAUCGGAGAGAGGCGGCCGGGGGGGGGGGAGCGGGGAGGAAAAACGAGGCGAGACGGAGGGGGAUGGGGGCUGAGGCAGCCCCGCUCGCGGGGCCCGGCGGACGGCGCGGAGCGGCCCCCCGGGGUCCGUCCGCAGAGCAGCCUGCGCCGCACCCCCCAGUCCGGGCGGGGAGCGCCCCCCGCGCCGCGCCCCCCCUCAUGCCUUCCGGCCCUUGAGCGCCUUGGGCUUCGCGGACUUCUUCACCUUCUUGCCCCCGGGGGACGCGGCUCCCUUCUUGGCGGCCUUCUUGGCUUUGUCCUUCCUGGCCGCCGCGCCGCCCGCUCCCUUCUUGUGCGAUUUCUUCUCGGCCUUCUGGCUCUUGCCCGCGGGUUUCUCCGCCCGCCGGGACGCGGCGGCCGCCGCCUUCCUGGGGGCUCUGUGCGCGCCUCCGCCCGCGGCCCCGUCCCCGCCGCCCUCCAGCUUCUUCCUGUUGAGCUUGAAGGAGCCGUUGGCGCCGGUGCCCUUGACCUGCAGCAGCGUGUCGUUCUGCACCAGCGCCUUGAUGGAGUACUUCAGGCUUCUUUGAAGCUCUAUCACAGGCAGGGCCAAUUUCUGCUGGAGCAGCUGAGAAAGCUGCCUGCCACAAGGCUCUCACCAAGGAUGGUGCCCAGAGGAGACGAGAUACAGAGGACAGCCUGCUCAGGUACCUGCAGCACAUGUACUUGCUGCUCCCAGAGCAGUUAUUCAGCAAUACCAGAGGAGAAAGAGCUCUUCCUCCAUAAUUCUACCAGGGGGCUGCUGCAAGAGCUCUACCAUUGGGCAGGAAGACAUCAUACACAGACAUUUGAC
rnacentral:lncRNA from 1 species